GAUGAACGCUGGCGGCGUGCCUAAUACAUGCAAGUCGAGCGAACGGACGAGAAGCUUGCUUUUCUGAUGUUAGCGGCGGACGGGUGAGUAACACGUGGAUAACCUACCUAUAAGACUGGGAUAACUUCGGGAAACCGGAGCUAAUACCGGAUAAUAUUUUGAACCGCAUGGUUCAAAAGUGAAAGACGGUCUUGCUGUCACUUAUAGAUGGAUCCGCGCUGCAUUAGCUAGUUGGUAAGGUAACGGCUUACCAAGGCAACGAUGCAUAGCCGACCUGAGAGGGGUGACAGCCACCAUGGGAGUGUGAACCGGGACAGGCCCCCUCGGGGGGGAGCAGGAAGGAAACCUCCCGAAAGGGGGGAAGGCCGAACGAAACACCGCGGAGUGGGUAAGAAAGGUCUAGGGUGCGAAAAACUUUUUUAUGGGGAAAAAAAAUAUGUGAAAGAAACGGUACACAUCUGAAGGGUAACAAACAAAAAAGCCACGGCAAACUACGUG
rnacentral:rRNA from 1 species